rnacentral:lncRNA from 1 species
AUUUGCGGAGUUGGUUCCGCCAGGGAGGAGAACUCGCGUGCUUUGUGCAGAGGGGAUUCAGCCUGCGCAGCGUGGCUCGGGGGCGCCGUGGAGCCUCCCGAAGGCGAUCGUGGGAUUCAGAAACCUCUCCCGGGGCUCCCACGGGAGGAGGCUGACCUGGGCCUGCACGCGAUCGCGGGAUGGGCUGGGGUUGCAGGAAGGCCCUGGGCCCGGGCCGCCAUCGGCGGGGCACUGGCUGCUUCUGUGUGCAGGCGCCGCACGGGCUCAUCCGCUUACACCGAAUUGUACUAAAUUGUCUUUUUAUUUCCCCACCCAGAAAAUGAAACACAUCCCCCAGCGAAAGCACGCACUAGCUCCGUUCUCCCGAGGAGAGUUUCCAGUGACUUGAGCGAGGGUGACCCAGGUCAUUUGACUAGAAGCUUUGUCUGCGUGCACUGAAUGAGGAUCCGGCCCUACCUUGUGUAUCCCUACUACGUGCUCCUGGACCUGUUGGGUUUGACUCUUGAUUUGCUGUUUUUGGGUGUUCACUGGCUGAGGACGGCUGUGUGCAGUGGCUGUGAAUAAACGGUGCUUGAACUCA